rnacentral:rRNA from 1 species
UUUGGCCUGAAGUCAAGCAAGAAAACCCACUGAAUUUAAGCAUAUAAGUGAKUGGAGGAUGAGAAACUAAACAGGAUUCCUUUAGUAAUGG